rnacentral:miRNA from 7 species
UCAUCAGAGAGGCUGGGCUCUG